UUGGAGGGCAAGUCUGGUGCCAGCAGCCGCGGUAAUUCCAGCUCCAAUAGCGUAUAUUAAAGUUGUUGCAGUUAAAAAGCUCGUAGUUGAAUUUCGAGAUCAAAUUGUUGGUCGUGCCUUGGUACGUACUGACAUUAUUGAUUUCUCCCUUCUGAAGAACCAUGAUGUCAUUAAUUUGGUGUCUUGGGGAAUCAGGACUGUUACUUUGAAAAAAUUAAAGUGUUUAAAGCAAGCUCGCGCUUGAAUACAUUAGCAUGGAAUAAUGAAAUAGGACGUUUAAUUCUAUUUUGUUGGUUUCUAGGAUUGACGUAAUGAUUAAUAGGGAUAGUUGGGGGCAUUAGUAUUCAAUUGUCAGAGGUGAAAUUCUUGGAUUUAUUGAAGACUAACUACUGCGAAAGCAUUUGCCAAGGAUGUUUUCAUUAAUCAAGAACGAAAGUUAGGGGAUCGAAGACGAUCAGAUACCGUCGUAGUCUUAACCAUAAACUAUGCCGACUAGGGAUCGGAUGAUGUUAAUUUUUUAAUGACUCAUUCGGCACCUUACGGGAAACCAAAGUGUUUGGGUUC
rnacentral:rRNA from 1 species